AUACAUGCAAGUCGAAGCUUUUUCUUUCACCGGAGCCUGCUCCACCGAAAGAAAAGGAGUGGCGAACGGGUGAGUAACACGUGGGUAACCUGCCCAUCAGAAGGGGAUAACACUUGGAAACAGGUGCUAAUACCGUAUAACAAUCGAAACCGCAUGGUUUCGGUUUGAAAGGCGCUUUUGCGUCACUGAUGGAUGGACCCGCGGUGCAUUAGCUAGUUGGUGAGGUAACGGCUCACCAAGGCAACGAUGCAUAGCCGACCUGAGAGGGUGAUCGGCCACAUUGGGACUGAGACACGGCCCAAACUCCUACGGGAGGCAGCAGUAGGGAAUCUUCGGCAAUGGACGCAAGUCUGACCGAGCAACGCCGCGUGAGUGAAGAAGGUUUUUGGAUCGUAAAACUCUGUUGUUAGAGAAGAACAAGGAUGAGAGUAAAAUGUUCAUCCCUUGACGGUAUCUAACCAGAAAGCCACGGCUAACUACGUGCCAGCAGCCGCGGUAAUACGUAGGUGGCAAGCGUUGUCCGGAUUUAUUGGGCGUAAAGCGAGCGCAGGCGGUUUCUUAAGUCUGAUGUGAAAGCCCCCGGCUCAACCGGGGAGGGUCAUUGGAAACUGGGGAACUUGAGUGCAGAAGAGGAGAGUGGAAUUCCAUGUGUAGCGGUGAAAUGCGUAGAUAUAUGGAGGAACACCAGUGGCGAAGGCGGC
rnacentral:rRNA from 1 species